rnacentral:rRNA from 1 species
AUCCAACCUGCCCUUUACUCGGGGAUAGCCUUUCGAAAGAAAGAUUAAUACCCGAUAGCAUAAUGAUUCCGCAUGGUUUCAUUAUUAAAGGAUUCCGGUAAAGGAUGGGGAUGCGUUCCAUUAGGUUGUUGGUGAGGUAACGGCUCACCAAGCCUUCGAUGGAUAGGGGUUCUGAGAGGAAGGUCCCCCACAUUGGAACUGAGACACGGUCCAAACCCCUACGGGAGGCAGCAGUGAGGAAUAUUGGUCAAUGGGCGCUAGCCUGAACCAGCCAAGUAGCGUGAAGGGUGAAGGCUCUAUGGGUCGUAAACUUCUUUUAUAUAAGAAUAAAGUGCAGUAUGUAUACUGUUUUGUAUGUAUUAUAUGAAUAAGGAUCGGCUAACUCCGUGCCAGCAGCCGCGGUAAUACGGAGGAUCCGAGCGUUAUCCGGAUUUAUUGGGUUUAAAGGGAGCGUAGGUGGACUGGUAAGUCAGUUGUGAAAGUUUGCGGCUCAACCGUAAAAUUGCAGUUGAUACUGUCAGUCUUGAGUACAGUAGAGGUGGGCGGAAUUCGUGGUGUAGCGGUGAAAUGCUUAGAUAUCACGAAGAACUCCGAUUGCGAAGGCAGCUCACUGGACUGCAACUGACACUGAUGCUCGAAAGUGUGGGUAUCAAACAGGAUUAGAUACCCUGGUAGUCCACACAGUAAACGAUGAAUACUCGCUGUUUGCGAUAUACAGUAAGCGGCCAAGCGAAAGC